ACCUUAUCAGGACCGUCGUGUUUUCAGGAGGCGCUAACAACAGUUCACUUUAAGUUCUCGAGAGCGGAGCUUUUCAGAAAACACUCGCUCUCUCAGACACUAUGCUAUCUCAAAUUCUCUCACGAAACUUUCACAAAACCCUCGCUCUCUCAACUCUCUCUCACAUCGAUGAAGCACAUCUCCCUCUCACCAUCCACCGAGUUUGCAGAGAUCGCCAUCUCCAUCGCGUCAUUCAGUCCACCGAGCUCACCGCGUUCAGUCCACCGAACUCGCCUCGUUCGCCAAAAUUUAUUCUCUCCCUCUGAAAACGAACCAAGCUCAAGCACUAAUUUGAAGGGAAAAACCCCAAAUCUGGUUAUGAUUGGCUCGCGAACACUUUGCAAUGGGUAUGUUUUAUUAUGUUUGGUUUAUUAUCGAAGAAACUGUGUAUGUUUUAUUUUGUUUGAUUUAGGUUCUUCCAUUAAAGAUGCUGGUGAGUUGAUUUAGGAAUUAGGGCUUUGGGUAUAAAAAGCUGGUAAGAAAUCCACACCAUCGACUAUUUUAGGGAUUUGAUAUAGAAUGUUAAUUUUGGUCUGAUUUAAUGUAAUUUGAUGGAAUUUGGACUUUAACUUGCUGAAUUCUACUUGGGUUUGUUUUGGUUUUUGCUGAUGUUGGUUGAAUUGUCUUGGAGCUUUUAGCUAUUA